rnacentral:rRNA from 1 species
GACGAACGCUGGCGGCGUGCUUAACACAUGCAAGUCGAACGGAAAGGCCCUGCUUUUGUGGGGUGCUCGAGUGGCGAACGGGUGAGUAACACGUAAGUAACCUGCCCUUGACUUUGGGAUAACUUCAGGAAACUGGGGCUAAUACCGGAUAGGAGCUCCUGCUGCAUGGUGGGGGUUGGAAAGUUUCGGCGGUUGGGGAUGGACUCGCGGCUUAUCAGCUUGUUGGUGGGGUAGUGGCUUACCAAGGCAUUGACGGGUAGCCGGCCUGAGAGGGUGACCGGCCACAUUGGGACUGAGAUACGGCCCAGACUCCUACGUGAGGCAGCAGUGGGGAAUAUUGCACAAUGGGCGGAAGCCUGAUGCAGCAGCGCCGCGUGCGGGAUGACGGCCUUCGGGUUGUAAACCGCUUUCGCCUGUGACGAAGCGUGAGUGACGGUAAUGGGUAAAGAAGCACCGGCUAACUACGUG